UACGUAGGGUGCGAGCGUUGUCCAGAAUUAUUGGCGUAAAGAGCUCGUAGGCGGUGUGUCGCGUCGGCCGUGAAAACCUGCAGCUUAACUGUGGGCUUGCGGUCGAUACGGGCAUCACUGGAGUUCGGCAGGGGAGACUGGAAUUCCUGGUGUAGCGGUGAAAUGCGCAGAUAUCAGGAGGAACACCCGUGGCGAAGGCGGCUCUCUGGGACGGUACUGACGCUGAGACGCGAAAAGCGUGGGGAGCGAACAGG
rnacentral:rRNA from 1 species